AUUAUACUCCCUCCGUUCGGAAUUACUUGUCGCGGGAAUGGAUGUAUCUAAACGUACUUUAGUUCUAGAUACAUCCAUUUUUAUCCAUUUUUGCGACAAGUAAUUUGGGAUGGAGGGAGUAUUAU
rnacentral:pre_miRNA from 1 species